UACGAAGGGGGGCUAGCGUUGCUCGGAAUUACUGGGCGUAAAGGGCGCGUAGGCGGCCCGCUUAGUCAGGCGUGAAAUUCCUGGGCUUAACCUGGGGACUGCGCUUGAGACGGGUGGGCUUGAGGGCAGGAGAGGCUCGCGGAAUUCCCAGUGUAGAGGUGAAAAUUCGUAGAUAUUGGGAAGAACACCGGUGGCGAAGGCGGGGUCUCUGGGGCAACUACUGACGCUGAGGAGCGGAAAGCGUGGGGAGCGAACAGG
rnacentral:rRNA from 1 species